GUAGAAAGCCAAAGCAAAAGGGGAGGAGCGGUAUCGGGGAGUAAAGUAGCCACACGGUGUGUCUGUCCCACCAGGCAUUCGCUCGAAUCUAACCAACCGACGCUGAGCAGGGAUCGGAUAAAGACGCGUUCUGUGGCAUCUGCCAAAACUCCCGACCACUCCGCUCACAAUUGUCAACGGAGAGACAGUAGCCCGCAAACAGCGGACACCUGACAGGCAACAGAAGGGAUAAAGCAAGAGGCAACAUAAUACAUUUAGCCGUAAAAUGCAACAGUCUUUGUUGGAUUAAAACAUCAUUCAAAGAUAAGCGUCGUAUAGGCAGUGAAACAAGGACGAACGCCGGUGCUGAAGCUGAACUGCGACUAGGGAGGUCCUGAUGAUAUAAUAACAAAUGUCCAGGGAGGUUCUCUUCCUCGCUGUUAAACCAAUCCGGUAAAUGUGGAGGAGGAGUUAAGAUGGAGUGCGGCCUUGUUAAUGUCCCAAAGCAGAAGUCAUG
rnacentral:lncRNA from 1 species